UACAGAGGUCCCAAGCGUUGUUCGGAUUCAUUGGGCGUAAAGGGUGCGUAGGCGGCGCGGUAAGUCGGGUGUGAAAUCUCGGGGCUUAACUCCGAAACUGCAUUCGAUACUGCCGUGCUUGAGGACUGGAGAGGAGACUGGAAUUCACGGUGUAGCGGUGAAAUGCGUAGAUAUCGUAAGGAAGACCAGUGGCGAAGGCGGGUCUCUGGACAGUUCCUGACGCUGAGGCACGAAGGUCAGGGGAGCAAACGGG
rnacentral:rRNA from 1 species